UUAGCCCUAAAAGAUACCAACUUCACUAAUAAUUAAGAAAUACAAAUAAAACAGCUAUCAUCUUUCACUCAUGAGUUUGUCAAAGAGCUAAAGGUUUCCUGACAGCUGAGGGCAGGGAAAUAGUCUCUCCUGGGCUGAGGCAGUAGGAGGGGAAGGAGCACAGCCUCUUUGGAGGGCACUGUGGCAAUGUCUGUGAAAUGUAAACACUGUACAAGCCAUUUGCCCUCCAGUUUAGAAUGUAUUCUACAAAGAAACUCCAACAAAUAUGCAGAGAUGCAAGUAAAAGACUGUCCAGUAGAGAAUUAUUUUUAAUAGCAAAAACCAAAACCAAAACUGAAAGAAAACAAAACAAAACUGGAAACAAAUGCCUACCAAAAUGGGUCUACACGAACCCCAGUACAUCCAAGACAUGGAAGAUAUUUUAGCUGCAAAAAAGAAUGAGGUAGCCCCAGAUGUGUGGGGGUGGAAAGGUGCCCAGGGUAUACCAUGUUGUUAGGGGAGAACCGGAUGUGUGAUAUGAUGCUAUUUAUGCUGAAAAUGAAAUCUUACCAAAGUUAAGAUGAAGAUAAGUUGUGAAGUAGAAUUAGGGGGUCAGGGGACUUCUGUUUUCAAUGAAUUAAUCUUCUUUACAAUUUGAUUUUUUAAAAUUAUGAAAAUAUGCACCUUACUAUUUACUCAUUUGAAUACCCAAUAAUGCACAAAAAUUCAGAAGGCACAAGGUGGAGAUGUAUAAUUCUGCAGGUCUCUCAACUAUCUGAUACAGAAUUAAUUUAUUCCCGGCAUGCAUUUAGUGUAUUUAGAAGAAGGAGGAGAAGUGAGUGAGAAAGGGUGGGGGACACAGGCAGCGGCUGCUCUGCGGUCGGCAGCUGUGGUCAGGUGUGGAGGUGGGCUGCCCUUUUUGGGGUCACUCUAUCCUUGGUUUCCUGGCAUCAGGCCUUCCUAACCCCGCUGGAGCAGUAGUGAAGGACUUUGGUGAUGCCCUGCCCAUGGCUCCUGGCUGUGGUUCUUCUUGGUCUGGGUCCCACAUCUCAGGGCUACAGGCAGUGAGGCGCUGGAAUCCCCCAGGACUGUCCCGCUUCUUGCCAGCUCCCCUCCAGCCAGGCCUGCCUGGCGGAUGCCCAAACACUCAUCAGGCAAGACAGAGGGACCUGGGUGGCACCUUACAGAGUCCUUCACAGUCACCUCUUGGAUCCACUUCAUGUAAGUUCUGUGAGAAGCUCUUCUAGGAGGCAACUUGAAGAGGAAAAUUACUGGGAUGAACUCCAACCCCUACCUCUGAAGUUUUGGGGUCUCAGGGCUGCAACUGACAUCCUCACCUGCCCACUCCACUACCCAUUAUAGACCACCUCACUCUCAGACGACAUCUCUGUUGGUCUCCUGAUUACCUGAGGGAACUGAGACCCUGGUCACCAUGCUAUUUUCAGGCCAGGGUUGCUACACUUGUCAACUUAACAUCAAAAUUGGGCAAGGGAGUACCAAGAAGCACCCAAGGGCAUCGCCUGGAUGUCAAACAUAUUCCUCCCAGACCCCAUAUGCAACCGCUUCUGGAUGCCAGGAUGCGACUCCUCUUCUUACCGCUGGCCCCUUGAUGCAAGGACAAGAAACCCAGAGUGCCAAGGAGGCGACUGUGCUUCGACUUUGAGGGACUCUGGCUGUGCCACCUUGCAGAAGUAUUUUCUCUUUGGGAACAAGGACCUCUAAACUUACGGAACCCAGAGUUGAGGGACAGAAAGCACAAAUUCUUUAAGUGGGCCACUGGGCCGCUUAAGCUUCUACCCCUAGGUUCCUAGACCCGUGUAUUCUGCCCAGUGGGGAUGCAGUGCCAUAUAUAGUAUUUGAUUUGAAGUGAUACUGCAUCUUGGAGGAUGGUACUGAAACCUUGUGAAGGCUUGUUUCUGAACUGGCAUUGCAGCUCUGUCUCCAUCGGGCCAGCAGCUUUGGGGUCAUGUGGUGUGCAGUAUUAACAGUGGAUCCCUGGUCAUGGGCCAGCCCACUCCCGCCCCUGCAGGGUUAUUGCUAUAAGAUGGGCUGUUGAGUCAGAAGUGAUGUUAUGUGGCAUCGUGUGCCAGUGAAUCAAACACUUCAUAGACCCUUGAGCAGAGAAUCCAUGGGCAGGAAAGGCAAAUCUCUAUGUGGAACUGGUCUCUAUUCCUGAUCUUUCAGGAGAGGGUCCAGUGUAGUCAUCUGCCACAUGCCAAGCCAAACCAAUCUCAGUUUUAUCCUCUUCAGCUGGUGACAUGGGAGUCCCCCAUGUGGCCAUUCGAAUGAGCUGAGGCUGCUGGUGCCUCAGUGGGGAUGAUGUGGGGUCUGGGCUACCUGCCGUGUAGCUUGCUGGUGUCCUCAAGGCGUGCUCAUGUUUGACCCGGGAUGUCCCCACCAUGUUAGAUUGAUUGAUUGGGUCUGGCAGACCCAGCUCAUGACAGGCAGUUCCAGCUGCCUGAUCACUCGGUGUCUCAUGUCUGGGUGUUGUGUGUCACAUGAGGGCUAGUAGCACAGGCACACCAGGACCUGUUUUCAGAAGGUGAAUAAUCCUUUGCUGCUAAUUGUAAUUCACUCCCAAAUUUUAGGGAGUCUCCAGAUCCUAAGGGAUUCUCCCAUUGGAGCUUGCAUUCUUCACUGGCAUCUCUUCCUAUCACUCACAUGGCUGACACCAUAGGGUCUGCUGAGUACUGUAUGGCUCAAGUCAAGGGAUGGGGUUGAUGGCUCUAGCAGCCUGACACUUUUGCAGAAUCCUUUCUUGCUCUGGGCCUUGGCAGCCUUUCAUGGCAUUGGCAUAUGGGGUUGGAGCAGUAUUCCUAGCUAUGAAAUAUGUUGCCUCCAGAUCUACCUAUCAGGUGUUAGGAUUUCUUCUUCAUGGUGGGAGGUAAAAGAUUAAAUAAUUUAUCUUUGCUUUGUAGGUAUGUCCCAGUAUUCACCAGACCAUUGAAUUCCUAGAAAUUUUACUAAUGUGGUGGCCUCUCGAUCUUCAGUAGUUUUCUCUCUCACCCUUUGGCUUCCAGCAUGCUAGGUACUGCUUGUCUAUCUGCCUGAUCAGCAUGAUGACAUCAGUGUACUGGAUCAGUGUGAUGUUCUGCAGGAUGUCCGAUGAUCCAGAUCUUUUUGGAUGGUCAUGACAGAGCUCUGAUGAAAGUUGUGAAUGUAUACUGUUGUCCCUUCCAUGUGAAUGUGAACUCUUUCUGAUUCUCUUUCUUGAUUGAGAUGGAAAUGAACAUAUUCACCAGAUUAAUGGCUUCAUAACAUGUACCUGAAUUCAAUUUUUUUUUGAGACGGAAUCUCACUCUGUCACCCAGGCUGGAGUGCAGUGGGGCGCGAUCUUGGCUCACACAACCUUUGCCUCCCAGGUGAAGUGAUUCUCCUGCCUCAGCCUCCUGAGUAGCUGGGAUUACAGGCAUGAGCCACCAUGCCUGGCCAGUUUUUGUAUUUUUAACAGAGAUGGGGUUUAUCAUGUUGACCAAGCUGGUCUCAAACUCCUGACUUCAAAUGAUCCACCAACCUCAGCCUCCCAAAUGCUGGGACUGUAGGCAUGAGCCACUUUGCCUGGCUCCCUGAAUUCAUAUUAAUCUUCUCUAGCAGCAAUACCACACCUAGCAAGGAAGCUGCAAUGGGGCUACUAGUUGUUGCACUUCUGGUAGUUUCCAUGGGGAACAGACUGGUGAAUUAAAUGGGACUAUAAUAGGAAUGAUCAUCCAUGCAUCUUUUAGAUCUUUAAGAACAGCACUCAUCUUUGCCAUCCCCUGGGAUGUAAUACUGCUUUUUAAUUUGCCAUCUUGGCCAGAAGGGGGAGUUUCAGAGGCUUCCACUUGGAUUUCCCCACUAUGAUAGCUCUUACCUCACAGGAUAAAGGGCUUGUGUCAAUUACUAAGUAUGUCAAUUACAGUUAUACAUUUGGAGACCACUGACGGUGGGACCAUGGACUGUGGGUGAGCUGGACCUAAGCUAGAACUCCAUUUAUCACCUGGCUCCCUUAGGAGGGGCCAUGCUAAUGCUCUGGGUUUCCCCUUCCCCAGUACACAGUUAUCUGAGUAACGCUGGGAAGAAAUGGAGGAAUCCUCGCUGUGUGCAGUCAUGGGGUUCUUCCUCCUGGGGACAUAGGCUUUCUGUCUAUCAAGUUUCCACGUCCAAGAACUUGCUCAGGGAUGGACAUUGCGGAAGGGAUUUUUACUUUUUUUUAAAUUAAGGUGACUGUCCUUAGCUUCCCAGCCAUCCAUCCGUGCUGUUUUUGAUUAUGCAGAUACAGUAGUAUCCUUAUUGGCUCCAUAUCUAUGUGGCCCCUAGGGGUGCCAAGUUCUAUUCACUCCACAGGUCUCUGUAGGUCAGGCUCCCCUGGCCUCCUCUCUACCCUACCACUCACCACAAUGACAUCUUCCUGCCUUCUGAUGGUGCCAUGGUCUGAAUGUUGGUGUCUCCCCAAAAUUCAUACGUUGAAACCUGACCACCAAUGUGAGGGUAUCAGGAGGUGGGGCCUUUGGAAGGCGAUUGGGUCAUGAAGAUGGAGCCUCAUGAAUGGGACUAGUGCCCUAAUGAAAAGAUGUCCCAGCAUGCUGCCCUGCCUGUUCUACACUCUGAGGACACAGUGAGAAGGCACCAUCUAUGAGCCAGAAAGUGGGCCUUCAGCAGACACCAAAUCUACUUUGAUCUUGGACUUCCCGGCCUCCAGAACUGUUAGAAAUAAAUUUCUUUAUAAGCCACCCAGCCUAUGGCAUUUUGUUACAGCAGCACUAAGGUAGAUGGCUUCUAGUUUUCCAAGGUCCUUGGGAUCAUUUCUGUGAGUAAGCCUGGUUGUACAGUGGCAAUUCCUCCUGCCAGCCCUGGUCCCCAGAGAGGAGCCAUCACUGAAUUUCUAAGUGAUCCAUUCCUAACAUCCUUGGUAAGUGGGUUAUCAUCUGGGUCCUGUGUGCAGCACAGGCCUCUGGGAGUUCCAGCCUUACAUGGCACACCUCCUCUGGUGGGCCCACCUCUCUGAGCCUAAGUGCCAAGGGCCUACCGUCUGCUCCAGCAGUUCUCACUUCAUGUUGGCCGCUGCUUUUUCCCAUGUUUCUAGGAACCAUCUGUAGUGAGUUUGCACCAUCUCCUGGGACACUGGUGAGAGUAUUAAAUCCUGUAU
rnacentral:lncRNA from 10 species